rnacentral:sRNA from 1 species
AACUUUUUAAUGACCCCAUUUUUUGUUCCGGCCAACAGACAACUCUUUUAAAUGGUCAGUAGGACAGAAGGUAACAUUGAUGACUCGCUCAUUGGUGGAAAUGCCUCCGCUGAAGGCCCCGAGGGCGAAGGUACCGAAAGCACAGUAAUCACUGGUGUCGAUAUUGUCAUGAACCAUCACCUGCAGGAAACAAGUUUCACAAAAGAAGCCUACAAGAAGUACAUCAAAGAUUACAUGAAAUCAAUCAAAGGGAAACUUGAAGAACAGAGACCAGAAAGAGUAAAACCUUUUAUGACAGGGGCUGCAGAACAAAUCAAGCACAUCCUUGCUAAUUUCAAAAACUACCAGUUCUUUAUUGGUGAAAACAUGAAUCCAGAUGGCAUGGUUGCUCUAUUGGACUACCGUGAGGAUGGUGUGACCCCAUAUAUGAUUUUCUUUAAGGAUGGUUUAGAAAUGGAAAAAUGUUAACAAAUUUGGCAAUUAUUUUGGAUCUAUCACCUGUCAUCAUAACUGGCUUCUGCUUGUCAUCCACACAACACCAGGACUUAAGACAAAUGGGACUGAUGUCAUCUUGAGCUCUUCAUUUAUUUUGACUGUGAUUUAUUUGGAGUGGAGGCAUUGUUUUUAAGAAAAACAUGUCAUGUAGGUUGUCUAAAAAUAAAAUGCAUUUAAACUCAUUUGAGAGAAUGCCUUUUAGUUUAAUGCAUAUUUAAACUAAAUUGAUCCUGUAGUGUUCCUGGAGAAGCUAGAGCCUGAUUGUAGGCUACUACUCAUCAAUUAACUUCUACAGUGGAGACUACU